AAGCUCGUAGUUGAAUUUCGGGAUUAGUACGUCGGUCGUGCCUUAGGUACGUACUGGUGUUACUGGUUCCUACCUUCUGACGAACCAUCAUGUCAUUAAUUUGGUGUGGUGGGGAAUCAGGACUGUUACUUUGAAAAAAUUAGAGUGUUUAAAGCAGGCUCGCGCUUGAAUACAUUAGCAUGGAAUAAUGAAAUAGGACGUUGAUCCUAUUUUGUUGGUUUCUAGGAUUGACGUAAUGAUUAAUAGGAUAGUUGGG
rnacentral:rRNA from 1 species